rnacentral:lncRNA from 1 species
CCUCUAGCCUUUGCUAGUUGGCGGGGUGAAGCCUCUAGCCUUUGCUAGUUGGCGGGGUGAAGCCUCUAGCCUUUGCUAGUUGGCGGGGAGAAUGGAAAUCACCGCUAUCUUGUGAUAGCCUUGGGUUAAUCUUAGUUUUAACAUAAUUUUAAGUCUUAACUUGCAUGCAAUUUACUUAAUAGGUGACACUUCCCCAUCGGUAGGGGAAAUGCACAAGGUAUUUUGCAUCAAAGAGGGUGUAUCACCCUUGGAGAUGCUGGGAAGUGGAGAUAUUCUUGAGAAAUUCAAGAGUUUUUUACUUCUCUACUCUACUAAGUAUCUUUAAGAGUGAGAGACUCUCAUAGAUACUGUAGAGUACAACAUUCACGCCUGGCGGUCCUUAGUUUAGUGAUAAGUUCAAUCUAUGAUUAGCAACUAUUUAUCAUCAUUUUUUGAUACUUUAAAAUUAGAGAUAUUCUUGAGAAAUUCAAGGGUUCUCUAAUGAGUAUCAUUGAGAGUAAGAAACUCUUAUUGAUACUGUCUUGUACAAACAUACACUCCUGUUGAUUCAGGUAUUCUCUUAGUUCAGUCCAAGUUAAGAUUUGUAACUGUUUAUCUACAUUAUAUAAAAUUGCUUUGUUUUGUAAGUGCUUUACAAGUUUGUUGCAGCUUAGCCUACCAAAUGAAUCCAAGUGCACCAUUGUAGAUAUUUUUUAAAAGCAGGAUUGAUGAACAACUAAACAAACAAUAUUGUGGAGAUACAUGUGAAUUAUAAUGGAGAUGCCACCAGCUAUUCAAUGCAUUGGAGAGCAGCUCUACUACCAAAGUGGAGAUGUGGAUCACUGGAUGUGGUAUGAGAUAUCUGGUAACCAUAUUAUCAGUAGUCUAGACAGGUUAGAAUUCUCUAACACUUCCCUAUUCUAACACAGAUAUCAAGCUAGGGCCGGGAUGUUUAUGGUGGUUACUAUUAUGACACAGUUCAUCCCGACCCUUCGGCAGUGCCAUGUUCUAUCCGGUUGGUUCUGAGUCCAAUGGGUGCUUUCAAGUUAGAGUCAACUGACCUGCAGAUCGCAUUUCCGCGUGCCAACAACUGGACGAACAUGUGCUACUGUUAGAUUGUGGUUUAUGGAUGGCUGUGGAGUAAGAAAAUCACCUUGAAUAGGGUUUGAGUUGUCAGGGUCCCUGUAGGAUAUUUGCAGUUGUCAGUCGACUAUUACAUUUCUGAUCAGUGCCCUUUGUGGUGGUGCCACAGCUUUUUCAUGAUGGUUGCGGGCUCAGUACAGCACUAAUUUGAUGAGCAGGUGGUACUGUUACACUGUGGCCUGGUCUGACUUGUUCUAUGAGACUGGCGAUGCAAAUAUUAGAUUGUAGUGCCUUCAGCAAACUUAGGGAUGGGGGUGUGAGAAUUAUCUGUCUUAAGAAUUAGAAUUAAGAAAAAUACGUUUAUAUCUGAGGCUGGAGUGAUAUUAAGUAUAGUCUCUAGCCUUUGCUAGUUGGCGGGGUGAAGCCUCUAGCCUUUGCUAGUUGGCGGGGAAGG